UUACCGAGUUUACAACUCCCAAACCCCUGUGAACAUACCUUAUGUUGCCUCGGCGGAUCAGCCCGCGCCCCGUAAAAAGGGACGGCCCGCCGCAGGAACCCUAAACUCUGUUUUUAGUGGAACUUCUGAGUAUAAAAAACAAAUAAAUCAAAACUUUCAACAACGGAUCUCUUGGUUCUGGCAUCGAUGAAGAACGCAGCAAAAUGCGAUAAGUAAUGUGAAUUGCAGAAUUCAGUGAAUCAUCGAAUCUUUGAACGCACAUUGCGCCCGCCAGUAUUCUGGCGGGCAUGCCUGUUCGAGCGUCAUUUCAACCCUCAAGCCCAGCUUGGUGUUGGGAGCUGCAGUCCUGCUGCACUCCCCAAAUACAUUGGCGGUCACGUCGAGCUUCCAUAGCGUAGUAAUUUACACAUCGUUACUGGUAAUCGUCGCGGCCACGCCGUUAAACCCCAACUUCUGAAUGUUGACCUCGGAUCAGGUAGGAAUACCCGCUGAACUUAAGCAUAUCAA
rnacentral:rRNA from 1 species